rnacentral:rRNA from 1 species
CCUACGGGCGGCAGCAGUGAGGAAUAUUGGUCAAUGGGCGUAAGCCUGAACCAGCCAAGUCGCGUGAGGGAUGAAGGUUCUAUGGAUCGUAAACCUCUUUUAUAAGGGAAUAAAGUGCGGGACGUGUCCCGGUUUGUAUGUACCUUAUGAAUAAGGAUCGGCUAACUCCGUUCCAGCAGCCGCGGUAAUACGGAGGGUCCGAGCGUUAUCCGGAUUUAUUGGGUUUAAAGGGUGCGUAGGCGGCCUUUUAAGUCAGCGGUGAAAGUCUGUGGCUCAACCAUAGAAUUGCCGUUGAAACUGUGAGGCUAGAGUAUGUUAGAGGAAGGCGGAAGGCGUGGUGUAGCGGUGAAAUGCUUAGAUAUCACGCAGAACACCGAUUGCGAAGGCAGCCUGCCAAGCCAUGACUGACGCUGAUGCACGAAAGCGUGGGGAUCAAACAGGAUUAGAUACCCCGGUAGUC